AUUGAACGCUGGCGGCAGGCCUAACACAUGCAAGUCGAGCGGAGCGGGGGACGGGCGAGUAAUGCCUAUGUAUCUGCCUGGGAGUGGGGGAGAACGUCCGGAAACGGGCGCUAAUACCGCAUACUAUCAGAUGAGCCUAGGUCGGAUUAGCUAGUUGGUGGGGUAAAGGCUUACCAAGGCGACGAUCCGUAGCUGGUCUGAGAGGAUGAUCAGUCACACUGGAACUGAGACACGGUCCAGACUCCUACGGGAGGCAGCAGUGGGGAAUAUUGCACAAUGGGCGCAAGCCUGAUCCAGCCAUGCCGCGUGUGUGAAGAAGGUCUUCGGAUUGUAAAGUACUUUAAGUUGGGAGGCGUUACCAACAGAAUAAGCACCGGCUAACUUCGUGCCAGCAGCCGCGGUAAUAC
rnacentral:rRNA from 1 species